AUACUUACCUUACAUGUAAGAGAUACCAUGAUCAUGAAGGUGCUUUUCCCAGGGCUAGGCUCAUCCACUGUACUCUAGAUGUGCUGACCCCUGUGAUUUCUCCAAAUGAGGGAAACUCAACUGCAUAAUUUGUGGUAAUUUGAAGACUGCAUUCAUACUCUCCCCUA